AUGGCGUCGAGGGUUUCUCUGAAGGCGAAAGGCAAAAGCUCAAAGGGAACGAAAGGAUCGGAAGAUCGAUCGCUGCUUGAUUCCGCGAAGGAAUGGACAACAUGGGGAUUGAAGAAGACGAAGGUUAUCGCUCAUUACGGUUUCAUUCCUUUCAUUAUCAUUGUUGGUAUGAAUACUGAUCCCAAACCCCAGAUUUCUCAGCUUCUCAGCCCUGUGUAA